GACGAACGCUGGCGGCGUGCUUAACACAUGCAAGUCGAACGGAAAGGCCCUGCUUUUGUGGGGUGCUCGAGUGGCGAACGGGUGAGUAACACGUGAGUAACCUGCCCUUGACUUUGGGAUAACUUCAGGAAACUGGGGCUAAUACCGGAUAGGAGCUCCUGCUGCAUGGUGGGGGGUGGAAAGUUUCGGCGGUUGGGGAUGGACUCGCGGCUUAUCAGCUUGUUGGUGGGGUAGUGGCUUACCAAGGCUUUGACGGGUAGCCGGCCUGAGAGGGUGACCGGGCACCAUGGGACUGCGAUACGGCCCAGACUCCUAUGGUAGGCAGCAGGGGGGAAUAUUGCCCAAUGGGCGGAAGCCUGAUGCAGCAACGCCGCGUGCGGGAUGACGGCCUUCGGGUUGUAAACCGCUUUCGCCUGUGACGAAGCGUGAGUGACGGUAAUGGGUAAAGAAGCACCGGCUAACUACGUG
rnacentral:rRNA from 1 species